CGAGGUCCUGUCCAGUUCUAGCUAAAAAUGGAUGCUAUGGUCAAUCGAAAAGCCAGUUGACCGGAAGUUCCAGCGAAUGAUUGUGUGUGUGUUGGUGCUUUUGGACAGAUCACUGGAUAUGUAUGGAUAGAAGCGGAGCUUUUGUUAUGUUUGCUGGAUAUAUAUAUACAUAUAUAUAUAUAUAUAUAUAUAUGGAAAAGUCGUCGUUCAAGACUCCAGAGCAUGGAAAACUUCUUCAGAAAUGUGAACCACAAAAUGUACCUGUAGAAUAGCCCCAGGAUGUUAAGAGAAGAGUCCCCUGUAAUACAGACCUACACACGAAGUAAUUGUAACCAGAAUGACACAGAAAUAAGUAUAACGACUUUGAGCCACAACGUUAAAAUGGAAGAACAAAAUCGAACAGGAACAGGACUAUCGCCAGCUACCCUCUCAAAAUUAUAUCACACUUAAGGACCCGAAUAAUUUUUACAUGCCCUUAACAUGAAAGCUUCCAGAAGUAGGACCACUCUUAUUAUCCUGAGGAUGAGCUAUUCCAGGUAUCCACACAUAAUUGGGGGCUGUGCGAUUUAGGACCUGCGAAUAAAUAUUGAACUAUGCAUCGAAUUAUUUUAUGGUACCUGCGAAGUCCAGAAGUACACCUGGUAUUUUUAAACGUCUAUAUUUAAACAAAAGUCGUCUAUGAAGACGACGUUAUUGUACUGCCACACAACAUUUUACGUGAACCAUAUCGCCGCAAAUGGAAUACCCUAUAUAUCAAAUGCUGUACAGACGUCCACCUAGUUAAAAUAAAUAUGUAUACCACAAAAAGA